rnacentral:rRNA from 1 species
CGGAGGCAGCAGUGAGGAAUAUUGGUCAAUGGGCGAGAGCCUGAACCAGCCAAGUCGCGUGAAGGAAGAAGGUUCUAUGGAUUGUAAACUUCUUUUGUAAGGGAAUAAAAAGAGUUACGUGUAACUUAUUGUAUGUACUUUACGAAUAAGGAUCGGCUAACUCCGUGCCAGCAGCCGCGGUAAUACGGAGGAUCCAAGCGUUAUCCGGAUUUAUUGGGUUUAAAGGGUGCGUAGGCGGACCCUUAAGUCAGUGGUGAAAGUUUGCGGCUCAACCGUAAAAUUGCCAUUGAAACUGAGGGUCUUGAGUGUAAAUGAGGUAGGCGGAAUGUGUUGUGUAGCGGUGAAAUGCUUAGAUAUAACACAGAACACCAAUUGCGAAGGCAGCUUACUGGGAUACAACUGACGCUGAGGCACGAAAGCGUGGGGAUCAAACAGGAUUAGAUACCCGGGUAGUCCC